rnacentral:rRNA from 1 species
CCUGAUGCAGCAACGCCGCGUGAGGGACGAAGGCCUUCGGGUUGUAAACCUCUUUUAGUAGGGAAGAAGCGAAAGUGACGGUACCUGCAGAAAAAGCACCGGCUAACUACGUGCCACCAGCCGCGGUAAUACGUAGGGUGCAAGCGUUGUCCGGAAUUAUUGGGCGUAAAGAGCUCGUACGCGGUUUGUCGCGUCUGCUGUGAAAACUGGAGGCUCAACCUCCAGCCUGCAGUGGGUACGGGCAGACUAGAGUGCGGUAGGGGAGAUUGGAAUUCCUGGUGUAGCGGUGGAAUGCGCAGAUAUCAGGAGGAACACCGAUGGCGAAGGCAGAUCUCUGGGCCGUAACUGACGCUGAGGAGCGAAAGCAUGGGGAGCGAACAGGAUUAGAUACCCUGGUAGUCCAUGCCGUAAACGUUGGGAACUAGAUGUAGGGGCCAUUCCACGGUUUCUGUGUCGCAGCUAACGCAUUAAGUUCCCCGCCUGGGGAGUACGGCCGCAAGGCUAAAACUCAAAGGAAUUGACGGGGGCCCGCACAAGCGGCGGAGCAUGCGGAUUAAUUCGAUGCAACGCGAAGAACCUUACCAAGGCUUGACAUAUACCGGAAACGGCUAGAGAUAGUCGCCCCGCAAGGUCGG